GAUGAACGCUAGCUACAGGCUUAACACAUGCAAGUCGAGGGGAAACGGCAUCGAAAGCUUGCUUUUGAUGGGCGUCGACCGGCGCACGGGUGAGUAACGCGUAUCCAACCUGCCCAUCACUUGGGAAUAACCUUGCGAAAGUAAGACUAAUGCCAAAUGACAUCCCACGAAGGCAUCCGAAUGGGAUUAAAGAUUUAUCGGUGAUGGAUGGGGAUGCGUCUGAUUAGCUUGUUGGCGGGGUGACGGCCCACCAAGGCAACGAUCAGUAGGGGUUCUGAGAGGAAGGUCCCCCACAUUGGAACUGAGACACGGUCCAAACUCCUACGGGAGGCAGCAGUGAGGAAUAUUGGUCAAUGGACGAGAGCCUGAACCAGCCAAGUAGCGUGCAGGAUGACGGCCCUAUGGGUUGUAAACUGCUUUUAUAAGGGAAUAAAGUGGGUCACGUGUGACUUUUUGCAUGUACCUUAUGAAUAAGGACCGGCUAAUUCCGUG
rnacentral:rRNA from 1 species